CGUGUAGGCGGCUCAUCAAGUCUGGUGUGAAAACGCAAGGCUUAACCUUGCGUAGGCGCUGGAAACUGGUGGGCUGGAGUUCUUGAGGGGAAGCUGGAAUUCCAGGUGUAGGGGUGAAAUCUGUAGAUAUCUGGAAGAACACCGGUGGCGAAGGCGAGCUUCUAUCAGAGGACUGACGCUGAGGCGCGAAAGCGUGGGGAGCAAACAGGAUUAGAUACCCUGGUAGUCCACGCUGUAAACGAUGUGCACUAGGCGUGGGGCACGUACGUGCUCUGUGCCGUAGUUAACGCGUUAAGUGCACCGCCUGGGGAGUAUGCUCGCAAGGGUGAA
rnacentral:rRNA from 1 species